UGGUGACUGAUCUUUCUCUGGAAGUG
rnacentral:piRNA from 1 species